rnacentral:rRNA from 1 species
UACGUAGGUCCCGAGCGUUGUCCGGAUUUAUUGGGCGUAAAGCGAGCGCAGGUGGUUUAUUAAGUCUGGUGUAAAAGGCAGUGGCUCAACCAUUGUAUGCAUUGGAAACUGGUAGACUUGAGUGCAGGAGAGGAGAGUGGAAUUCCAUGUGUAGCGGUGAAAUGCGUAGAUAUAUGGAGGAACUCCGAUUGCGAAGGCAGCGUACCGGCAUCCAACUGACGCUGAGGCACGAAAGCGUGGGGAUCAAACAGG